UACAUAAAUAACAAAAAAAAAAAAUUAAAAAAAUCAUCUUUAAAAAAUCAACAUAGUAUUCUCUUUUAAAAAACUAUUUCUAAAUCUAUAACUAUAUAUAAAGGGGAUACAAGUUUUUGGAGUGACCUAUUUUUGUUCCAAAAUUAUCCUUUAUCUUUUUUAUAAAUAACUUGAGUGGUUGAUAUCUUUUGUUGGUAACCAAUUGAUAAACUAACUUCUAUCUCUCACAAAAAAAUAAAUAUAAUAUCUAUAACUUCUAUUAACUGUUGUUGAAUGAUGACAUAAGUUAAAAAUCCUCUUCUAUUUUUUUUUUUUAAAUUUUAUCUCUUUCUUAAUCAAUAUACUAUUUUUUUUGUUGAAUUUUUUUCAUUUUAUUAUACUUCUAUCUUACUUUUGAUUUUCAAUUGUAACUUUCUAAUAUGCAAUUUUUUUACUUCCAAUAUAGUAUGUUUUAAUAACCUCUCACCAUAUUUUUUAAAUUGACAAUAGUAUCUUUUAGUAACGGUAAUGAUAGAUUU
rnacentral:lncRNA from 1 species